ensembl:lncRNA
AGCAGAGGAGAGAGAGAGAGAGAGAGGGGUGGAGGAGCCACACAGCAGAGGAGAGGAGAGAGAGAGAGGGGUGGAGGAGCCACACAGCAGAGGAGAGGAGGGAGAGAGAGAGGGGUGGAGGAGCCACACAGCAGAGGAGAGGAGAUAGAGAGAGAGAGAGGGGUGGAGGAGCCACACAGCAGAGGAGAGGAGAGAGAGAGAGAGAGAGGGGUGGAGGAGCCACACAGCAGAGGAGGAGAUAGAGAGAGAGAGAGGGGUGGAGAGCCACACAGCAGAGGAGAGAGGAGAGAGAGAGAGGGGUGGAGGAGCCACACAGCAGAGGAGAGAGAGAGAGAGAGAGAGGGGUGGAGGAGCCACACAGCAGAGGAGAGAGAGAGAGAGAGAGGGGUGGAGGAGCCACACAGCAGAGGAGAGG